UUCCUCCCUCGGUACUCUAGCCUAUCUCUGCAGCCCGAGUCCCUGAGGUCUUCACAUGCUCAGGACACACAUGCUCCUCACAAGCAGCUCAAAUGCACCAUGGCUUUAGAUCAGGACUAUGUGCUGAAGAAAGCAUGAACGGAAAUGGGUGUUAUCAGGGCAAAGCAAACCCAGAUGCCCUAACAAAACGGCAAAGAUGAAUUCUUUCCUCUUCCGUGAGCUGCGUUUUAGAGAGCCAGCGUGUUACAGUAUCCAUGUGCCUCUGACAAUUGCUUGUGAGAUCUCUGCCUUUUAUUUUCUGUUGUUCCCGAGUCUGCUAAACCAAGUUCCUCUUCCCUGGGAUGGGUGGUCACUGGCUGUAAGCUGGAGCCUCUCACAGCCAGGGUCUGGGAAGUUGCUCUUUCCGGAAGGGUGGUGGAGACCCUGGGAAUCAGACCAGCCCUGCUCACAAAGUAUGAAGAGAAUGUCGGGAGAGGAAGUGGUGCCUCUGAGUCAGCAUGAGUCAUCUGGUUCCAGUGACAAUGAGGGCUGAGGUGUGCGCCUUUUUCUUUUCUUUCUUUCUUUUUUUUCUUUUUAAUCAUGUGGACAUCUCUGAGAAUGGAGGGGACUCAGUGCCUUUACAGUGGCUGCUUUCUAAGUUUCAAAGUGACUUUCCAGGCAAGCUGAGCAUGUCUUGGGAUCUUCACACACAGUGGCUGGGAAGGUGGAGCCAUUCAUCAGCUUCUCCCUGAAUAACUGGGAGCUGAAACAGGAAGCCCCAUGACACAAUUGAUCGAAAAUGACACAGACACAGAAAAACCAGGACGUGCCCCCAGCAGCACCUUUACCUGCUGCCUGCUGAUCGCAGCUAGAAGGCAGGUGAAGGGUUUCCCCCCGGGAAUGGCCUGUAACUCCGGAGAGCUCUGGCGGACCUCUGUGCUCACUGAAAACAAGUAGGAAGGGGCUGGUCGUUAAGUACAGUAGGUGGAAACUUCGUUCCCCGUUGGUUCCGGUCCGACUGUCACGGUUUCAGGAUCCACGGCAUCGCAGGCCGAAGAGGGGAUGAAAUGCGCGGGCUCUCUCACUGAAUCAGCCUUGGAGAUGCUCUGAACACGGUCCCCACACUUCAAACGCAGGCUGAGCUCACACCAUGGCAGAGCUCAGUGAGAACUGAGGACUCUGGAUGUCCACGCCACUGCUGAGGUCCAGGCUAGGGUGGGAUGGUUGCAGGGGCAGGAAGUGACGUCAUUCUGGACUCACCUGCCUUCACCCAGGAGACUCCCACCCCACCAGCAAACCUAAGGACUGGGCGAACAGCAGCUGCUCUGAACAAAGAGGGGAGGCCCUUAUUGUGGGUUCUGGAUGAUUUCUACAGCGAAAGGAGCAAGAAGCACCAAAAAGCUGGUCACCCUUCUCACUCCCACCGGUGGGCAGGGACCAGGUUUCAGAUGGACCUUUUCUUUGGAUGGGACAGCAGAUCUUCAAGAUGGAAAAAAACAAGCACCCUGGUACCCACACCCCCGCCCCCAAAUAAAUGGUCACUUUUAUGUGUUACAACACAGCAAUUUUAAAAACUAAAAACCCAGCCAGCUAAAACAUGACUCACAAAUGCUGAACCCUGUCUUUAACUUCAUAGCCAAGCAAAGGGAGGGGCAGGAGAGAAAGGGACCCCCAGAUCAGCAGCAUCCAACACCUUUCUCAUCCCCAGGAGGAGACUUCCAGGCCAGUAUGCACCACUUACAUCCCACAGUACAGCUGAGUCCCAACACCCAGGCAUGGGAGGAAGGUCUGUCUCCCUUUUUCUGGGUCCUGUCCGGAGAAGACAGAGCAGAGGAAGUGCGUGGAUAACACCUGCAGGUCUGAAGGAAAAGCCAGCCAGGCAAGUAGGCAGGGAGAUAGGGUGCAGAAAUAAAUAAUACAUUAUCACAGGGUGCAUUUAAAUUUAUUUAUGUGUGUUUUAUGUGCAUUGGUGUUUUACCUGCAUGUAUAUCUGUGUAAGGGUGUAGGAUCCCUUGGAUCAGGAGUUACAGACAGUUGUGAGCUGCCGUGUGGGUGCUGGGACUUGAACCCACGUCCUCUGGAAGAGCAGCCAGUGCUCUUACUUGCUAAGCCAUCUCCCCAGCCCCCACAGGGUGCAUUUUAAUGCACACCCCCAGCCAAGGCUCAUUGAAAAGGAUAACAAAAUACUCUCCUACCAAUUUGCCACCUUUCAAGGACAAUUUAAUAAUGUUUACUUUGGUAUUAGAAAAUUGUUCCAUUUGUGAAUCUUUAGUAAUAUUCCUCCCUGGGGGCACUUCUAUCUUUGGAGUCUUUCUUUUCCUCCUC